CGCGUAGGCGGUCCGACAAGUCAGGGGUGAAAUCCUGCAGCUUAACUGCAGAAGUGCCUUUGAUACUGUCGGUCUUGAGGGAGAUAGGGGUGUGCGGAACUCACAGUGGAGCGGUGAAAUGCGUUGAUAUUGUGAGGAACGCCGGAGGCGAAAGCGGCGCACUGGAUCUCUUCUGACGCUGAGGCGCGAAAGCUAGGGAGCAAACG
rnacentral:rRNA from 1 species